CCUGGAUCUACUCUAGAUGUACAGCCCUUUCAGAAUCUUUGAAGAAGAGUGAUUUGGGCCAGUCAGUGGGCACUGGCGCCGUCAGAUUGCAGGGGACCUGAGGAGGGAGAGGAAAUAAACACCAUGCUCAGUCAUCUUGAAUCAGAAUCCAGCCAAGUCUGUCGAACAGAGGACUGGUGCCAGGUGCUUUGGCCUUGGGCUAAGGGGCUGUUCAGGAAGAGGUGGGCGAGGAGGAUCCGUGGCUCGCCUGGUCACAAGCAUGUUGAGAUGAAUCCAGCCUGGUGCCACCUACAGCCGUGAAGGCCCGCGGUCUGACCCUAUAAUGUGCUGCCUUCCUGAGACGGCUGCACUUCUGCAAAGCCCUCGUGCCCUCAUGUCCUAGCCAUGAAAUCAUGCAGACUUUCGAUCACAGGCCUUAGCAGUGAGAAACAGAAA
rnacentral:lncRNA from 10 species